CAUUAAAGUCACAACGGCAAAAGAAUGAGCAUGCGUCCCAUUAGCUAGUUGGUAAGGUAACGGCUUACCAAGGCUACGAUGGGUAGGGGUCCGUGAGAGGGAGAUCCCCACCACUGGUACUGAGACACGGACCAGACUCCUACGGGAGGCAGCAGUGAGGAAUAUUGGACAAUGGGCGCAAGCCUGAUCCAGCCAUGCCGCGUGCAGGAUGACGGUCCUAUGGAUUGUAAACUGCUUUUGUACAGGAAGAAACACUACUUCGUGAAGUAGCUUGACGGUACUGUAAGAAUAAGGAUCGGCUAACUCCGUG
rnacentral:rRNA from 1 species